AUGAUGUUUCCCUUGGUCAAGCACUAAGUCAUCUCCAAGUCUGAAGCAUUCAGCAAACAAUGGCAAGGCUGAGCCACCAGAAAUGUACACCUGAUUUUCAUGACAAAUAUGGUAAUGCUGUAUUAGCUAGUAGAACCACUUUCUGUAUUGCUGUAUGGACAUAUGUAGCAACACAAAUCGGAAUAGAAUGGAACCUUUCCCCUGUUGGCAGAGUCAUUCCAAAGGAAUGGAGAGAUCAGUAAUAAUCCCAACUGGUGUAAUAAUAAAUUGUUUAAAAAA